rfam:Glossina morsitans morsitans, isolate Yale, WGS project CCAG01000000 data, contig: ctg10016192
UACCGUAUGGUCUAGGGGUUAGGACGUCGGACAAAAGUUUGUAAGGCCCGGGUUCGAUUCCCGGUACGGUUG